UACGUAGGGUGCAAGCGUUAAUCGGAAUUACUGGGCGUAAAGCGUGCGCAGGCGGUUUGUUAAGACAGGUGUGAAAUCCCCGGGCUUAACCUGGGAACUGCGCUUGUUACUGGCAAGCUGGAGUGUGGCAGAGGGGGGUGGAAUUCCACGUGUAGCAGUGAAAUGCGUAGAGAUGUGGAGGAACACCGAUGGCGAAGGCAGCCCCCUGGGCUAACACUGACGCUCAUGCACGAAAGCGUGGGGAGCAAACAGG
rnacentral:rRNA from 1 species